AUGGAUCAGGAGCUGAUCGAGCACCUUGAGGCCAAAGUGAGUGUUGACAGCGCGAGAUCUCACCCUCUCAUCGAUUUGUUCAUACCAACCAUCAACAGCGAGCACGGCAUAUGCUACACCCAUCCUGAGAAACUUCCAGGUAUCACACUGAGUGGCCUAAGCAAGCAUUUCUUCCAGCGCAAUUUUAGGGUGUUCAAAAGGGGCACGUGGACGCGUCGCAAGAUACAGUCGGAGUGCGGCAUGCACGCGAUGUGGCACAAGACCGGCAAUACCUUGCCGGUGAUGGUCAAUGGCCAGCAGACGGGCAGCAAAAAGGUUCUGGUGUUGCACACCAACAUGAACUUCGACCAUUACCGCAAAAAAAGAACUUCAACCAGCAGAGGGCCAACUGGGUGA
rnacentral:rRNA from 1 species